GCAGAAUAGUCUAGCGGUUAGAAGGCGCUUGGCUCCCAAGCAGUUCGGUUCUGGGUUCAAAUCCCAAUGUCCGCA